UGAGAGCGGGGGCAGGCGGGAUCCUCCGCUAGCCCUGGGGACGUUCUAUCUGUGGGCCUGCGGAUCGCGUCACAAGUCGGCGACUGAACCUUGGCUGUGGUGGCUGAGGCGGCGAAGGCGGCGAAGGCGGCAGCGGCGGCGACAGCUCUGGGGUUUGCGUCUCGGGGUGUGUCGGCCGCCGCUGCUGCUUCGGCUUGGUAUGUACAAAUGGCUGAUUAGGCUUCUCGGCACCAUUUUCCGCUUCUGCGACCGGUCGGUGCCCCCUGCCCGGGCCCUGCUGAAGAGACGGCGCUCGAACAGCACUCUGUUUUCUACAGUGGACACUGAUGAAAUACCAGCCAAAAGACCAAGAUUAGAUUGCUUUAUUCACCAAGUGAAAAACAGUCUCUACAAUGCUGCCAGCUUGUUUGGAUUCCCAUUCCAGCUGACCACAAAGCCCAUGGUAGCUUCUGUAGCUUCUGCUUGCAACGGAACACGGAAUGCGGCCCCUUCGGGAGAGGUAUUUUCGAACUCUUCAUCUUGUGAACUGACAGGUUCCGGAUCCUGGAACAACAUGCUGAAACUGGGUAAUAAAUCUCCUAAUGGAAUAAGUGAUUAUCCAAAGAUCAGAGUGACAGUAACUCGAGAUCAGCCUCGUAGAGUCCUGCCUUCCUUUGGUUUUACUUUGAACUCAGAAGGCUAUAAUAGAAGACCAGGUGGCCGCCGCCAUAGCAAAGGCAAUCCAGAGAGUUCCUUAAUGUGGAAACCUCAGGAACAGGUUGUAACAGAGAUGAUUAUUGAAGAGGGUGGCAAGGGUCUGAGGCGUCCCCAUUGUACUGUGGAGGAGGGUGUUCAAAAAGAGGAAAGAGAGAAGUACCGAAGGUUAUUGGAGCGACUUAAAGAAGGUGUUCAUGGAAACUCUGUUCCUCCUGUCACUUCAACUCAUCAUAGUUCUCAAAGGUGUCACUUGGAUACAUUAAAGACCAAAGGCUGGGGGGAAGAGCAAAGCCAUGGAGUCAGAACAACUCAGUUUGUUCCAAAACCAUAUAGAGCUGCUGAAACAAGGGGUCCUCUAUGUCCAAUGAGGAGUGAAAAGAGGUGUUCAAAGGGGAGAAUUUCAGAUAUAGAAAAGACAGUUGGAAUUAGACUUGAAAAUGAAGGUAGGAGGGGACACCAGCUGGAACCUGACCUGUCCGAAGAAGUGUCAGCCCGACUCCGCCUGGGCAGUGGGAGCAAUGGCUUAUUCAGGAGGAAAAUGUCAACACUUGACACAAAAGAAAAAAGUUGCUCAGGCAAAGAGAGAGAUAAAAGAACGGAUGAUCUUCUUGAACUUACAGAGCAACCACUGGACUUUCUAAUUCAGGACAUGGAAAAGGAAAUCAGUAACGCCCUAGGCCAUGGCCCACAGGAUGAGAUCCUAAGUAGUGCUUUCAAAUUGCGCAUCACUCGAGGGGAUAUCCAGACCCUGAGGAACUUUCACUGGCUCAAUGAUGAAGUCAUUAAUUUUUACAUGAAUCUUCUCAUGGAAAGAAAUAAAAAACAAGGCUAUCCAUUACUUCAUGCAUUCAGUACUUUCUUCUAUCCCAAAUUAAAGUCUGGGGGUUACCAAGCAGUGAAAAGAUGGACCAAAGGGGUCAAUCUCUUUGAACAGGAACUAAUUCUGGUGCCUAUUCAUCGGAAGGUACAUUGGAGCCUGGUGGUGAUAGACCUAAGAAAAAUGUGUCUUAAAUAUCUGGAUUCUAUGGGACAGAAGGGCAACAGGAUCUGUGAGAUUCUCCUUCAGUAUUUGCAGGAUGAAAGUAAGACCAAAAGAAAUGUUGAUCUGAAUCUUUUAGAGUGGACGCACUAUAGCCUGAAGCCACAUGAGAUUCCUCAACAGUUGAAUGGGAGUGAUUGUGGAAUGUUUACUUGUAAAUAUGCAGAUUAUAUGUCUAGGGACAAACCUAUCACAUUUACUCAGAGGAGGCGAUGAAACUGGAUGCAGAGACUGGAGUAUUCCACAAGCCAAGAAAGCCUGGAGCCAUCCAAGUUGGCAGAGCCUUCAGGGAGAACAUGGCCCAGCUGACACCUUGAUUUUGAACUUGGGGCUCCAGGACGGACUUUCUGGGAUGCCAGGAUGUCAUAUCAAGACAGAAAAAGUCUGGGAUUUACAGAAAAAUAAAUAGUUUGUCCGAGUCCACAUGUGGUGAACCAGGCACACACGGGCAGCUGUUCUUAUGUAGAACACUGUUUGCAGUAGAGGAAACUGGCAUUGCAGUCUGAUGGUAAAAUGGCUUGUUCACAGAAACCAGUACAUGUCCAUCCUUUAGCGCAAAAGCCCUAAUGGCACGUACCCUAGUGAGAUUCAGGACAUCUCCAACAUCUUCUCUGUGUCUCUUGGUCGUCUUUCUUUUUUAAUGAACGUUUUCGAGGUUUGUCCUAAAGAAGGCCACGUGGGCUCCUGGCUGGCGGGAGGUGACGCACAGCGGGCGGCGCACACCACACCGGACUGUCACCUUCUCCGGGCUGGCAGCUGAUAUCGUAUUUUUUUUUCCAACUCAUUUUUAUUAAAAAAAUAAAAAAAUGCUCCAACUAUCAGUUUUACAAAAUCUCUAAGGGAAACACAAGAGCAAGGUGCUGAGGUAAAAAACACCUGAGGUAGCUUUUUUUUGUGUGUUUUUCUCUUUUAAAAAAAUCUGUAAAUUUAACGCCCUGGGCCAACGACCUCAUGUAAAUUGCUAUUUUCUUUCACAUUUUUUUUUUUUUCCAAAAGAAAGAAAUCAUUUUGCUGAAAAUGGAUGGCUUAUACACCAAAAUGUAAAAAAGACAAAAUAUAUUCUUUCUUUGCGGGGGUUUUCUUUGUUUUGGUUGG